AAUGAACAAUAGCAAAUGAAAGUCCCAGAACUAAAACAUAUAUGUCUGAUUUUAAAACACAAAAUGUAGGUUUAAUAACAGAUUGAAGAUGGCAGAAGUGUCAGUUGAACUUGAAAGUAUAUGAAUAUAAAUUGUCAGCCAGGUGUGAUGGUUCACACCUGUAAUGCCAGCACUUUGGGAGGCUGAGGCAGGUGGAUCACCUGAGGUCAGGAGUUCGAGACCAGCCUGGCCAACAUGGCAAAACCCCAUCUCUGCCAAAAAUACAAAAAUUAGCCAGGUGUGGUGGCAUGCACUUGUAUUCCCAGCUACUCAGGAGGCUGAGGCAGGACAAUCGCUUGAACCCAGGAGGCAGAGGUUACAGUGAGCAGAGAUUGCGCCACUGUACUC
rnacentral:lncRNA from 10 species